UCCCUGUUUGUCUAGUGGUUAGAACUCAGCACUUUCACUGCUGUGGCCCAGGUUCAAUCCCUGGUCUGGGAA
rnacentral:tRNA from 1 species